rnacentral:misc_RNA from 1 species
CCCUUGCUGACGUUGAGGUGAGGAGAAUACUUUGGAGAGCCAGCAUUAUCGUCGACAGUUGCCUCCAGAUUCACUGGGUUCACCGCCUCGAGGAAAGGGACGAGAAGAGAAUCAUCCAUGAGUUCAUAGACGAUACGGCCAGCCUCUUCGAGUUCUCUGGGAUGGGGAGGGGUAGGCUUGCCGGAAAGACGCAGCAAUUGGUCUCGCACGCGAGAGGGGAUGUUGACUUCUCGGGGUGACCAGGGGGCGAUGUAGUUCUGCAUGAGCUUUCCCCAUAGGGCGCAGAGCUGCUCGUUAGCCUCAGGGUGGGAGGGCUUGUCGUUCUGGAUCUGGUCGUGGGCGGCUGCAUAUCUUUGAAGGUCGAUCGUAAACUCAAGGGUCUCCAUGCAAUGGUUCUGGGAGAGAUAUUCUGUGAAGGCACUUAGUGUCCAUGGAGGAGAGGAUACAUGGAGAAGGAUCUCGUUAAGGGUCGGUGUGCGGUUGCUCAA